GAUAGCUCAGUCAGUAGAACACGAGAAUCUUAAUCUCAGGGUUUCAGAGUCGUGGGUUCAAGCCCCAUAUUGGCCA